GCGCGGGUAAACGGCGGGA
rnacentral:ncRNA from 3 species